GGCGGACGGGUGAGUAAUAUAUAGUUAAACCUGCCCUCGAGAAAGAAUAACAGUUGGAAACGACUGCUAAUGCCGGUAUAUGCCUUAAGACAUAAGUAUGCAAGGGAAAUGCUUUUGUGCUCGAGGAUGGGACUGUACGGUAUCAGAUAGUGGGGGGGGUAAUGGCCUACCAAGUCAAUGACGCCUAACUGGUUUGAGAGGAUGAUCAGUCACACUGGAACUGAGACACGGUCCAGACUCUUACGGGAGGCAGCAGUGGGGAAUAUUGCACAAUGGAGGAAACUCUGAUGCAGCAACGCCGCGUGGAGGAUGACACAUUUCGGUGCGUAAACUCCUUUUAUAUAAGAAGAUAAUGACGGUACUAUAUGAAUAAGCGCCGGCUAACUCCGUGCCAGCAGCCGCGGUAAUACGGAGGGCGCAAGCGUUACUCGGAAUCACUGGGCGUAAAGAGCGUGUAGGCGGAUAGAUAAGUCAGAAGUGAAAUCCUAUGGCUCAACCAUAGAACUGCUUUUGAAACUGUUUAUCUAGAGUGUGGGAGAGGUAGAUGGAAUUUCUGGUGUAGGGGUAAAAUCCGUAGAGAUCAGAAGGAGUACCGAUUGCGAAGGCGAUCUACUGGAACAUAACUGACGCUGAGACGCGAAAGCGUGG
rnacentral:rRNA from 1 species